rnacentral:rRNA from 1 species
UACGUAGGGUGCGAGCGUUAAUCGGAAUUACUGGGCGUAAAGCGUGCGCAGGCGGUUCGUCGUGUCCGAUGUGAAAGCCCCGGGCUCAACCUGGGAAUGGCAUUGGAAACUGGCGAGCUUGAGUGUGGCAGAGGGGGGUGGAAUUCCGCGUGUAGCAGUGAAAUGCGUAGAGAUGCGGAGGAACACCGAUGGCGAAGGCAGCCCCCUGGGCUAACACUGACGCUCAGGCACGAAAGCGUGGGGAGCAAACAGG